UACUUACUCCCUCCGUCCGGAAAUACUUGUCGCACAAAUAGAUAAAAUUGGAUGUAUCUAGAACUAAAAUACGUCUAGAUACAUCCAUCUCCCCGACAAGUAUUUCUGGAAGGAGGGAGUAUUUU
rnacentral:pre_miRNA from 1 species